rnacentral:rRNA from 1 species
CAUGUGGGGCAAGCGUUGUUCGGAAUUAUUGGGCGUAAAGGGCGCGUAGGCGGUUUGACAAGUCUGAUGUGAAAUCUCUGGGCUCAACCCAGAGUCUGCAUUAGAAACUGUCGGGCUUGAGUAUGGGAGAGGUGAGUGGAAUUUCCGGUGUAGCGGUGAAAUGCGUAGAUAUCGGAAGGAACACCUGUGGCGAAAGCGGCUCACUGGACCAUAACUGACGCUGAGGCGCGAAAGCUAGGGGAGCAAACAGGAUUAGAUACCCUGGUAGUCCUAGCCCUAAACGAUGAUUGCUUGGUGUGACAGGUACCCAAUCCUGUCGUGCCGAAGCUAACGCGAUAAGCAAUCCGCCUGGGGAGUACGGUCGCAAGGCUG